rnacentral:rRNA from 1 species
AUUGAACGCUGGCGGCGUGCCUAACACAUGCAAGUCGAGCGGUAACAGGUGUAGCAAUACAUGCUGACGAGCGGCGGACGGGUGAGUAACGCUUGGGAAUCUGCCUAUCAGUGGGGGACAACCCGGGGAAACUCGGGCUAAUACCGCAUACGAUCUACGGAUGAAAGCCGGGGACCGCAAGGCCUGGCGCUGAUAGAUGA